GUGCUCACUUCGUCAGCACAGGUACUAAAAUUGGUAUGAUACAGAGAAGAUUAGCAUGGCCCCUGUGCAAAGAUGACUCACAAGUUUGUGUAGUGUUCCAUAUUAAA
ensembl:snRNA U6 U6 spliceosomal RNA